rnacentral:rRNA from 1 species
UCCGUAGGGGAACCUGCGGAGGGAUCAUUACACAAAUAUGAAGGCGGGCUGGAACCUCUCGGGGUUACAGCCUUGCUGAAUUAUUCACCCUUGUCUUUUGCGUACUUCUUGUUUCCUUGGUGGGUUCGCCCACCACUAGGACAAACAUAAACCUUUUGUAAUUGCAAUCAGCGUCAGUAACAAAUUAAUAAUUACAACUUUCAACAACGGAUCUCUUGGUUCUGGCAUCGAUGAAGAACGCAGCGAAAUGCGAUAAGUAGUGUGAAUUGCAGAAUUCAGUGAAUCAUCGAAUCUUUGAACGCACAUUGCGCCCUUUGGUAUUCCAAAGGGCAUGCCUGUUCGAGCGUCAUUUGUACCCUCAAGCUUUGCUUGGUGUUGGGCGUCUUGUCUCUAGCUUUGCUGGAGACUCGCCUUAAAGUAAUUGGCAGCCGGCCUACUGGUUUCGGAGCGCAGCACAAGUCGCACUCUCUAUCAGCAAAGGUCUAGCAUCCAUUAAGCCUUUUUUUCAACUUUUGACCUCGGAUCAGGUAGGGAUACCCGCUGAACUUAAGCAUAUCAAUAAGCCGGA